rnacentral:rRNA from 1 species
ACUCGAGUGGCGAACGGGUGAGUAACACGUGGGUGAUCUGCCCUGCACUUCGGGAUAAGCUUGGGAAACUGGGUCUAAUACCGGAUAGGAGCCAUCUUUAGUGUGGUGGUUGGAAAGUUUUUCGGUGUAGGAUGAGCUCGCGGCCUAUCAGCUUGUUGGUGGGGUAAUGGCCUACCAAGGCGGCGACGGGUAGCCGGCCUGAGAGGGUGUACGGCCACAUUGUGACUGAGAUACGGCCCAG